GAAUCUUCCACAAUGGACGAAAGUCUGAUGGAGCAAUGCCGCGUGAGCGAAGAAGGUUUUCGGAUCGUAAAGCUCUGUUGUAAGGGAAGAACACGUACGGGAGUAACUGCCCGGUCCAUGACGAUACCUUAUGAGAAAGCCACGGCGCACGACACGCCAGCAGCCGCGGUAAUACUUAGGUGGGAAGCGUUGUCCGGAAUUCUUGGGCGUAAAACGCGCGCAGGCUGUUCUUUAAGUCUGAUGUGAAAGCCCACGGCUCAACCGUGGAGGGUCAUUGGAAACUGGAGAACUUGAGUACAGAAGAGGAAAGCGGAAUUCCACGUGUAGCGGUGAAAUGCGUAGAGAUGUGGAGGAACACCAGUGGCGAAGGCGGCUUUCUGGUCUGUAACUGACGCUGAGGCGCGAAAGCGUGGGGAGCAAAC
rnacentral:rRNA from 1 species